CCUGCAGUCUUGGGUUGGGUUUUUCUGUAAAUGCACUCUGUGAGAGAUACGCAGCCUUCUGGGACCUUGGCUUCCUCUUCCAUGCAAAGAGGGAGGUGACCUUUGAAGGUCUCUUCCGUAUUUAACCUUUUCCGUUUUCUCUGAUCUCGGUGGCAGGGAUUUUCAGCAAAUGCCCUAACCCUCUCUGUAGGGGGCUCACGUUCACCAUUUCCAGGUGAUGUGGAAGGACUAGAGGGUGUAGCCAUGUUAGAGGAAGCAUGUCACUGGGAGUGGCCUUUGAAGAUGAGGAUGUCGCUGCAAGCUCCUUCUCUAGCCCCAUGUCUGCCUGCCAGCUGCCUGCCUGCUCCCACCACGAUGAUGAUGGACUGAACCCCUGAAACUAUUCUUCAGCCAGGAAAAAAUAGCAGCGAAGGAGAGAGAGAGAAAUCCUUCCCUGGUGAGCUGGAUUCCUUGAAGUUGCAGACUAUGAAAAGCGGGAUGCAGUUAUGUGAACUCCCAGCAUCCUGGUCCAUAUGCCUGCCUGCUUGCUGUCUCUUCCGUGCCUUUAUGGGUGCUAACCCUCUGGGACCACAAGACAACAUAACAACAAGACCGUCUUCCUUAAGAUGCCUUGGUCAUGGUGUGUCUUAUCGCAGCGGCAGAAAAGUACUGAAUACAAGGGACAACCCGACUGUGUGUUUGCGCCAAGCGAUCUCGUAGACACGGGCCAGUCUAUGGACUAACUGCCCUUGUGCAUCUAUACCUAUCACUGUCAGAGCACAGAAGAACGAGCCGCGGUGAACAGUGAAUGUCUUGGGGAACUGUGGGAAAGGCUCCAGGAGAAAAGGCAGAGGGCCUUUUAUCUCAGGGGUGUCUUGUUUCCUGGAUUGUUCUUGGACGUGAUUUUGUGCUUCCUGUGUUAAACAUUGACGUUCAAGCCGUAAGGCAUGUUUAUUCUUGUUGGAUGUCUGGACAUAGCUAUAGAACCCAAUCUGGUCAGUGUACCCUGAAUGUGGAUGUGGCCUUCUGCCUUGCUUUUGUGCUUUCCCAGGUAGAGUCUACAGUACUUUCCAGGUAAUUGUGUUUAAACUGGUCUGACCUGAGAAAGUUCUGGGAAAGAGCUGCCCUGUUAAUAGUAUGAGCUUACUGGUGCUAAUUUGCAUAUUUUUCUGAUCACUUUUUUUUUUUUCAAAACUCAAACAGCCUUCCUUGGAUCAUUCCUUUCUUUGUUACAUUGUGUAUAAAAGGACACAGAAACUGAAGUAAGGUUGUCUACAGCAUCACACUCUAGUCCGCCCGUUCUUUCAGGUCUUCAGCGUCAGGUCCAGCAGACAAGAUCUGCACAGGUUGAUGCAAACUGACACAGGAUUACCUCUCUUCUGUUUAUUUUGGUUUUAUUGUUUGAGAUCCAGUCUCCCGUGGUCCAGGCUGGCCUUGAACUAGAUAUACAGCUAAGAUGAUCCUCCUGCCUCCACCUCCCAAGAGCUGGGAUUGCAGGUGUGCGCCUCUAUUCCUGGUUUAUGCAGCACUGGGGCGUCAAUCCAGGACAACAUGCUUGCUAGGCAACAUGCAUGCUAGGCAAGAACUAUACCGACUGAGCUACACCCCAGCCCUCUGUAUCCAUUUUUUUUAAAAAACCAUCUGGAGAAACAAGUUGGGGGAAUAAAUUACAUAGGAAUUUGGAAAUAAAAAGAAUAAAUAUAUGUGCCAGAGCCAUUUUAAUACUGAAGAUUUUUAAAUGUAGCUGACAAUGUUAUUAAAAUGUUACUGUACCGCGAUGGUUGGGGAAAUCAAAAUCUGUUAAGGUUUUUAGAAGAGACUACAGCUUUCUUAUUUUCUUUAAGUAUAUGUAAAUCAAGGGUAGCUGUUGGCCAUGUCAGGCCACGUACUCAAGUAUACAAAAAUGCUGCCCAGCACGUGCCGAAUAGGGCCAAUAUGGAGGGUCUGGGUUGAGGUAUUAAAUAAACUCGUACCAGCCCUUG
rnacentral:lncRNA from 1 species